UGCAGUCGAACGAUGAAGCCCAGCUUGCUGGGUGGAUUAGUGGCGAACGGGUGAGUAACACGUGAGUAACCUGCCCUUGACUCUGGGAUAAGCCUGGGAAACUGGGUCUAAUACCGGAUAGGAACGUCCACCGCAUGGUGGGUGUUGGAAAGAUUUAUCGGUCAUGGAUGGACUCGCGGCCUAUCAGCUUGUUGGUGAGGUAAUGGCUCACCAAGGCGACGACGGGUAGCCGGCCUGAGAGGGUGACCGGCCACACUGGGACUGAGACACGGCCCAGACUCCUACGGGAGGCAGCAGUGGGGAAUAUUGCACAAUGGGCGAAAGCCUGAUGCAGCGACGCCGCGUGAGGGAUGACGGCCUUCGGGUUGUAAACCUCUUUCAGUAGGGAAGAAGCGAAAGUGACGGUACCUGCAGAAGAAGCACCGGCUAACUACGUGCCAGCAGCCGCGGUAAUACGUAGGGUGCGAGCGUUAUCCGGAAUUAUUGGGCGUAAAGAGCUCGUAGGCGGUUUGUCGCGUCUGUCGUGAAAGUCCGGGGCUUAACCCCGGAUCUGCGGUGGGUACGGGCAGACUAGAGUGCAGUAGGGGAGACUGGAAUUCCUGGUGUAGCGGUGGAAUGCGCAGAUAUCAGGAGGAACACCGAUGGCGAAGGCAGGUCUCUGGGCUGUAACUGACGCUGAGGAGCGAAAGCAUGGGGAGCGAACAGGAUUAGAUACCCUGGUAGUCCAUGCCGUAAACGUUGGGCACUAGGUGUGGGGACCAUUCCACGGUUUCCGCGCCGCAGCUAACGCAUUAAGUGCCCCGCCUGGGGAGUACGGCCGCAAGGCUAAAACUCAAAGGAAUUGACGGGGGCCCGCACAAGCGGCGGAGCAUGCGGAUUAAUUCGAUGCAACGCGAAGAACCUUACCAAGGCUUGACAUGUUCUCGAUCGCCGUAGAGAUACGGUUUCCCCUUUGGGGCGGGAUCACAGGUGGUGCAUGGUUGUCGUCAGCUCGUGUCGUGAGAUGUUGGGUUAAGUCCCGCAACGAGCGCAACCCUCGUUCCAUGUUGCCAGCACGUAAUGGNGGGGNACUCAUGGGA
rnacentral:rRNA from 1 species